rnacentral:rRNA from 1 species
ACUCCUACGGGAGGCAGCAGUGGGAAUUUUGGACAAUGGGCGAAAGCCUGAUCCAGCAAUGCCGCGUGUGUGAAGAAGGCCUUCGGGUUGUAAAGCACUUUUUGUCCGGAAAGAAAUCCCUGGCUCUAAUACAGUCGGGGGAUGACGGUACCGGAAGAAUAAGCACCGGCUAACUACGUGCCAGCAGCCGCGGUAAUACGUAGGGUGCAAGCGUUAAUCGGAAUUACUGGGCGUAAAGCGUGCGCAGGCGGUUUGCUAAGACCGAUGUGAAAUCCCCGGGCUCAACCUGGGAACUGCAUUGGUGACUGCAGGCUAGAGUAUGGCAGAGGGGGUAGAAUUCCACGUGUAGCAGUGAAAUGCGGUAGAGAUGUGGAGGAAUACCGAUGGGCGAAAGGCAGCCCCCUGGGCCAAUAC